AAACGAAGAUGUAGUCGAACUUUUCCGUAACGGAAUCAUGAGUCAAUGCUUCAUCGGUAAUAUCUUUUCCAUCCUCUUUAUCCGGUGCAGCAACAGCAAUAGCUUGGAACUGACCAUCCUCGUGUUGGUGUUCGAGCCAGUGCAUUAGCUUUUCAGUGCACUUUUCAAGAAGGCGAGGCUCGGAGAAGGCUAGCUCCCUUCGUGGAUCAUCGUUUGUCGCCCGGUAGUAGUCUUCUUCCAAGUCAUGUUCUCCUUCAGCUACAACUCCUGCAGAAGCAGCAUGAAACAACGCCUCCGUCGGCGACAUGUGCAGCUUGUCGGAGUCCGCCGUCUUUGCCGGGACCUCGACGCCGUAGCGGAGCCGCCGCUCACCA
rnacentral:lncRNA from 1 species